GGGUAUAUAAGCUCAGUGGUAGAGUGCAUGCCUAGCAUGCAUGAGGUCCUGGGUUCAAUCCCCAGUACCUCCA
rnacentral:tRNA from 1 species